UACGUAGGGUGCGAGCGUUGUCCGGAAUUAUUGGGCGUAAAGAGCUCGUAGGCGGUGUGUCACGUCGAUCGUGAAAACUUACAGCUUAACUGUGAGCGUGCGGUCGAUACGGGCAUCACUGGAGUUCGGCAGGGGAGACUGUAAUUCCUGGUGUAGCGGUGAAAUGCGCAGAUAUCAGGAGGAACACCGGUGGCGAAGGCGGGUCUCUGGGCCGAUACUGACGCUGAGGAGCGAAAGCGUGGGGAGCGAACAGG
rnacentral:rRNA from 1 species